rnacentral:lncRNA from 1 species
AUACUCUAUAGUGAACUCAUUAUUUCUUACUUGCAGUUGAAGUGGUGUGCUUGGGUUGCGCUAUACUGCUCCUGCAUCAGCUUUGCCAACUCGAGAGUCAAUGACGAUACGAAACAAAUGCUCAGCAGCUUCAUGUUGUCCAUUUCUGCAGUUGUGAUGUCCUACCUUCAAAACCCACAGCCAAUGACACCUCCAUGGUCCAAUAUAUAAACAGUUCUAUAUUAUCGAUUGUUUUUGGUUGAAUGGAAAUGUAUAAUUGCCUCACCAUACUUGUAUUAAAAUUGUACUGCUGAAUGACAGUGACAAUUUUAGUUUUAAUAAACUAGCUAAUGGUGCCAGGUUUGUAUUAUGAUGUGCAAUAUGGAACAGUGCCAACAUUUGAUGAUGUGCAUGAGUUACAAAUGGCUUGGUUUGUUAAUCUUUUAAUUUGUGUUGCCUGCACUAUAUAAUUCUUGUUAUACUUCCCAUCCAAAAGUUUCUUGUAAGCAGCUUGUCUUUUUUUUUCUUUAACAAAUGGACAAAUUUGUAUUGUCCCAUAACAUUAUCAUGUCAUUCAUGCCAGUGUAAAAGGCAAUAGCAUGAAGGUCAAAGCUUGAAAUAUCCUGGAAUAUGAAGUACCAUACGAGUUGAUCCUCGAGUGACAACCACAUUAGUACAGUAGAUAGCCUCCAUAUUAGACAUAAAAGGAAGACUUGAUCACCACGUUAGAAAUAGAAGAGUGAAAGGGAAUUGGGAGUGGAAUGGUAGGCAGUCAGUAUGGGGAAAGGGAGACUUUUGGAGUACAGUACAGUACUGUCCAUUCAGUAGAGCCAGGCUGUCACCUGAUCGGAUGACAGGCAAAGUUAUGUCACUAGCACUGAUUUUAUAGUUUUCUUCGAGGUGACAUCAACUGCAUAAUAUCUUUUUGAUCAUGAAAUUACAUUAACUCCAACCAGUUACUGCUGGCUAAUAAUUCUUAGACAUAAAGGAAAGAGGACAAAUCAGAAGAGCAUGUUAAGAUAGGGCUACCUGAAUAGGUUUCAGUUGUGGUUACUCCAUCAGAGGGGCGUUCAUGGGGAUAAAGACAGAUUCUACAGUAAAUUGUUAAUUUCUCUUUUAGGAAUGCCUCCUCUUCCAUUUUGCUUAGUUAUGCACAGUUGUUGUUUUAUGGUUACAAAGGAAACAUAUCAUUCCUUAAUUUCUUAUUUUGACUGUAUCAGAAUUUAGAAUUUCUAAAAUAUAGUUACAGGUUGUAAGUACAGUAUGUAUAACAGUUUAUACAGUACUAUACUUAGUGUAUAAAAUAUAUAUUAAUGCAGGCCAUAUGUAUUAUUGUUAAAUAUGUACUUUUGUAUUUCAUAGUAAACCUUUUACCAUAA